UCCCACCUCCCCCCGCAGUCUGUGCGAUGCCGUCCCCUUCUCCGAGGGGCUGAGGGACGGCGUUAAGCCCCAGAUCGGUGUCUGUGGAGACAGCGUUUUCUGAGGCGGGGGAGGGGGGAGCCAAACUCUUCCUCCCUGCCAGCUUUUUCAUUGUUUAUCAAUAAUAAAAAUGAGAACCCCAGCGUUUUCUAGGUGAGGAUCUCAAUGCAAUUGGGAAAAUGAGGCAGGCAUCACCGAGGCUUACCUCAGUCAGAGAGAUGUCCCCUGUUAAAUGAGACCGGCUGAGGUUCAGAGAAGGCGCUGCCACUGCACAGCAUUAUUACAGCCCCAGACCAGAUAAAAGAGUACACAGAUACUUCAUGAACAAUGGCACAAAGUCUACAUUCAAAGAAAAAAAAAUAGCAAAGCAUGAAAUCCUGGAACUUACAGAGAAUCUGACCCUGUAAAGGACUUGGAUCAGGCAUGAGAGAGACGAGAAGAAGAGCAGGGUAUUGGAUGACACCCUAGGACUUCUCUGAUGAUCCAGAGUGACCAAGGAUUCAUUACCUUUCAAGGUCUUGUCCCAUAAAGGAAGCUAAAAUACAUCUAAAAAGAAGGAUUAAUUUAACCUGCAUGAGUAUAUGGAAGAACUUUCUUGUACUAUUUGAAAAUAAAACAGCUUUAGUUGGUAUUUUUUCAUGAAGAAAGGUCAAAAAGCAGCCCAUGACAUUCUACAAACUGAGUCGUGUCAUCUUCACUUCUUCUACUAAAGUGAAGCCAAUCGUUGUCUUAGUAUAUGUUGUUACCCAUAGUAUUCAUGAGAUUUACAGUCAAGGAUGUGUGUCUAAAAUUUUCAAAGCCAUCUGUUCGGUAUAGAAAAACAUUUUCUAUUCAUUUUAAUGGAAUUAAAGGUUCCUUUACUCUGUUCCAAUUUAUGCAAAAUAGGCUUUGAUUUCAGGAUUCUGGGAGCCUGACAGCCAAAGCAACCCAAAGACAUGAAGUGUAAUCUUGGAGACCUUGUUUUCAUGAGCUGCAUGUGAUGAAAAUACUGAAAUCAAUCAGUCAACCUGUGGUUCUGAUAAAACAUGCACUUUGAGAGCCAAGAUUAAUGCACAUUUUGCCUCAACGUUUGCAGAACAAAACUGUAAUCCCUGACAAACAGUUUGGGAACUACAAAUUGUAGAUAACUGAGCCAUUUGUAAUCUUCUCCGAAGAUAAGCCAAACACUAAGGAAGAUAGUGAGUAUUCAGGAUUACAAACUCAGCUGGUAUUUAUCCAGACUAAGUUCCUUUCUAAAUCAUACUUUUCUUCCUGUAUGAGCUAAGUAAUCUUCAGUGGCUUUGUAGGUUAGCAAUGCCAUGCAACUUGUUCCAAAAACUUGAUUGUUACUGCUGUAAAAGGGAUGAACAAAUCAAAUUAGGCUUCAGCAACAAGUUAUUUUCUAAUCUUAAAUGGGACUUAGUUAAAUGACAAUGAUAUAGUGUUCCCUGGGAUAGUGAAAGCUGGCAGUAAAGCAGUUUUUAGAUAUUUUAUUAUGCACAUUUCUGAAAUUUUACACAGUUUCCUAUAGUGGAUUUCAUGCAUUAGCAUCGAGCACUUGUAAUAGCAAAUUGUCAAGGUCUAACAGUUUGUGCAGUGUUAGAAUUUUUCUAUAGUAAGGAAGGUAAUGGAAAGCUAAUUCCUAGGUUCUCAUCCACAGCAUGGGGAACCCAACUGUGCAGCCAGGCAAUGUGGAUGUGGAAGGUAGGAAAUAUCAUAGUUUGACACUUGACUGGGAUAGAUCAAAUGGGAUCGACCUAGGCCUACUAGAUUAAGAAGCAUCAUUGGUGAUAACGUUGUGGAAUUGUCUGAACUGUAAUUGCACUGCACCUUGAUAGCCUAGGAGAAAAGUAUUUUCCCAUUGCUUUUAACAAAGUGAUAGCUGAGAGUCCUUAUAAUGUUCUGGGUCACUGAAAGCUAUUUUCCCCUUAUUGAACACUUGGGGAAAAAAAAAAAAGGAAGUGAUGCACAGAUGGACAGACUUAUUUUUCAGCAUAUAUCACUCAGGGCUGUGUAGUCAAGGAUCCUCUAAUGAAGCAAAAUGUUGUGGGCUGAUCUAAACUGUCAGUCUCAUCCUCUAUUUCUACUUGCUAGUUUGCUGUGGCUGUAUAACAUUAUCAGUCUGUUGUACUUUGAGGACAUUGAUAUAUAGAGAUAAGAAAUUUCUGCUGAAUACUGCAAUCAACUAAAAGUAAUAACACUUUUAAAUAACCCCCCUCUAGCCCUCCACUUUUGUUUGCAUAGAAUUUGUUCUAUGGGUACUGGCAGUAUUGUUUGAUUAAUGUGGGCUGUAAAAAUUUCAGCUAAUGCAAUGCCUGAAGCAAGAAAACAUAAAUGCUUUGCAUACUAGCUACAGUUAACUGAGUACUAACUGACUGUGCAGCUUCCUGGCCGUAUGUUCUAUACGGUUCAGCAUUUUUAAUUGUAUAGAUGUCCUAAAAUAUGCAGAAAUAUCCUUUAUGAAAUACAAGUAUAUGUGAAUGAUUUAUUGUAAUUGUAGGAAGGAAAGAAAUAAAAUAUACACAUUCUAAAUGCUCAACAUUUCUGAAAAAAGUGUCAAGGAUAAUGGUACAUGUGUUGAAAGGAAGCUCUCUCUUUUUUGUGAGUAAAUCAAUAGGGGAAUAUUUUGCAAAGCCAUCCAGUGAACUGAUUGAACUUUCCAACAUUGCUGUAGGCUACUGACCACAAAACAAAAUGCUUACGUGUCUAUUUUGUUGCAGGCUGUGAAAUGUCAUGAUCACCUAGAAUCUGUUUAAUGAUGAAGGCCUGGUACAGGAGUUUCACUUCCUUCAUGAAUUUCCUAUUAAAGCAAAUGCUUUUUCUCAAGUAAUACUCUUGGCUAAGACACUGCAGUGACUGGCCAAGCUCACACAAGUGAGAUAGAGCAACUUCUGAAUAGCAGGUGUCAGCAGCAUAGGCAGCUGCAUGACGUGUGAGUGACAUGGAAGAAGCAGGCUAGCUGCCAAGACCUCUGAGCAGCAAUGUGCUUGAUAUACAUGUGAAACACUGAAUGUGCUUCAUCUACAGGUCUGUUGUGACCCAUUUUGUGCGUACGUAUGGAAUGCCUCUUCAAGUACCAGAAAUAAAGUUGAGGCAACGUGAUACUGAGAAGUACAUGUGCGUGCGUAAAGCUGAGGACCCUUAGAUAAUUUGAAUGCACUCCAAAGUGGGAGGAAGCCAUGUCUGCUGUGAUACAAGUGCUGGCUGAUUAAGGACUCGACUGAUAACUGACAGUGCAAAGGCGCAAAGUGGGCUCUAUACAUACACAAUUGUUUCUGUAACCUUAAUCCUAACUUCUCUUUUGCAUAAGCUUGGGAACCCGGUAAUUCCAACAAAUAAAUAAAGAGAUAUCAGGAUCUGUCAGUAACAAUCCUCUGUUUCUGUCUCUGGAACUUGCAGAUUCAUUUAAAUGUUCAGACUCAGUGGUCAGGAGUUUUUCUAACCUUUAAUUUACAGAGAGAUAGGAAACUGUUAUACUUGGUAAAUAAAUAAUGAUGAGACAGAGCUUAACGUGCUCAGGCCUAAGCUUAUCUCUGGGACUUGCAAACUAGUAUGCGUGCUAAGAGCAGCACACAUACUUUCUGGAUGUGUAGGAAAAGGGAUACUAAGUGCUCCCUAGCCCGUUUCUUCUCUAAUAUCCACUCUCAGGAUUUUUUAUUCUAAUUUCUAACUCCUUUAGUGAUUGAGUUUUUAAUCUUUAAUGUAUCUAUAUGUUGUUUUCGUGUGUGCAGUAGCAGCAAUAAUGAAUAGAGUGUCUUUUUUGAUAACUUACAAUGUUUAUUUAUGCAAUGUAAUACCUCUGUGGCACUGUUCUGAAUGGUUUUUUUUUCCUCAUGUGCAAGAACAAAGAUUGUCGUUUACUCACACAUGAUGUUUGACCAGUGUUAGUGAAAUACAUAAAAUAAAAUAAUAGUCUUAUUCCCA